rnacentral:rRNA from 1 species
GUAGGUGGCAAGCGUUGUCCGGAAUUAUUGGGCGUAAAGCGCGCGCAGGCGGUUCUUUAAGUCUGAUGUGAAAGCCCACGGCUCAACCGUGGAGGGUCAUUGGAAACUGGAGAACUUGAGUACAGAAGAGGAAAGCGGAAUUCCACGUGUAGCGGUGAAAUGCGUAGAGAUGUGGAGGAACACCAGUGGCGAAGGCGGCUUUCUGGUCUGUAACUGACGCUGAGGCGCGAAAGCGUGGGGAGCAAACAGGAUUAGGUACCCUGGUAGUCCACGCCGUAAACGAUGAGUGCUAAGUGUUAGGGGGUUUCCGCCCCCUUAGUGCUGCAGCUAACGCAUUAAGCACUCCGCCUGGGGAUACGGCCGCAAGGCUA